rnacentral:rRNA from 1 species
UGCCAGCCGCCGCGGUAAUACGGGGGGAGCAAGCGUUGUCCGGAAUCAUUGGGCGUAAAGCGCACGUAGGCGGACUAUUAAGUCAGGGGUGAAAUCCCGGGGCUCAACCGGGAGACUGCCUUUGAUACUGUUAAGCUAGAAUUAAGUUGAGGUUAGCGGAAUGUGACAUGUAGCGGUGAAAUGCAUAGAUAUGUCAUAGAACACCAAUUGCGAAGGCAGCUGACUGGGCUUAUAUUGACGCUGAGGCACGAAAGCGUGGGGAGCGAACAGGAUUAGAUA